rnacentral:rRNA from 1 species
GAUGAACGCUAGCGACAGGCCUAACACAUGCAAGUCGAGGGGCAGCACGAAGUAAGCUUGCUUACUUUGGUGGCGACCGGCGCACGGGUGCGUAACAGGUGUGCAAUCUGUCCAUAAUCGGGGAAUAGCCCAGCGAAAGUUGGAUUAAUGCUCCAUGUGAGUUUUAGAGGCAUCUCUUUAAUUUGAAACGCAAGGAUUAUGGGUGAGCACGCUUCUGAUUAGGUAGUUGGUGAGGUAACGGCUCACCAAGCCGACGAUCAGUAGGGGUUCUGAGAGGAAGGUCCCCCACAUUGGAACUGAGACCCGGUCCAAACUCCUACGGGAGGCAGCAGUGAGGAAUAUUGGUCAAUGGACGCAAGUCUGAACCGGCCAAGUCGCGUGAAGGAUGAAGGUUCUAUGGAUUGUAAACUUCUUUUGUCUGAGGGUAAAAAAGCGGACGUGUCCGUUCUUGCAAGUAUCAGACGAAUAAGCAUCGGCUAACUCCGUGCCAGCAGCCGCCGGUAAAAC